AAUGGUGUAAUGGUGUUUGAGGAAUGGUGUGAUUGUGUAACUAGCGAUCGGGAAUGGUGUGAAUGAUGGUGUACGACAUCUCAUUGGUUGAAACGAAUUUCUUUUUAUUUUAUUUUUUCGAGUUGUAAACAUACUCAAUAAUAAUAAUCUUAAUAUUUGAAAUUUAAUUGCAUUAUGGGUAAUUUCGGAUCGUGUAGAUAGAAUGGGGAAUGGUGCAUGGUGUAAUGUGUAAGGUGUAUGGUGCAAAGGUGUAACGUGUAUGGUGUAAUGGUACAAGGUGUAUGGUGUAAUGCUGUAAGGUGUAUGGUGUAAUGGUGUAUGGUGUUAGUGGGAAGUUUACACCAUCCAAGGACUGUACAUGUAACUGUUAUAUUAAUAAUAAAAUAACAACAAACCAGUACAUACUCUGUGACGUUUAUUAUAAUAUGAGGCAGGCAUUACCUGUAAAUGGGGACGAAGUCUGUAUGAAUUAUUAUUUUGUAACUUAAAUAUUUGUUCAAAAAAAAAGAAACGGAAAUACCGUAACGUUUCCG
rnacentral:lncRNA from 1 species